rnacentral:lncRNA from 1 species
UAACCUUUGACAUCCUUAUCCUCCUAGUAACCGAGAGGUUGCAUUAAGAAAAAUGAUGAUUUGGCAAGAAAGAAGAAAGUAAUUUAGUCUCGUGAGAUGUAGUAACUAACUAAAUGGUAUGAAAUGAACUGAGCAGUACUGUUCUACUAGAAAAGAGGAAAAAAAAACAAGGCGAUGGUAAAGUGAACGAAGGGUCGGACGUUAUCGCGGAAAAACUAUAAAGAGGGAAAUUUGACAUGAUAGCAAUGUUAGAGUUGAAGCAUAAUCCUUGUUGUGCGUUAGGAAGUACGAAGAAAGGAUGGAUUAAGACAGAAGUCGGAAAUUCUUUUUUUUUCUCACAAACAAGAGAUUUUCCCGACUUUGAACAAGAGAUAGACGAUGGAAAGAAAGAUGAAUUAAAAAGUAAAAAAAAAUACAAUUCGGUCAAUCAAAAUGUACUUUAUUUGAGUUGAUAUGACGAGUAAACGAAUUGAAAUCAACGAUGUAUUUCAUUCUCACGCCAGUAAAAACACAAAUAAAUAGCAAAACCCAAAAAAUCAAAUAAGAAAAACUCCCCUAAAGAAAAAACUAAAGUAAUAAAAUAAUUGACAAAUCCAAAAAAGAAGGUUUCUAUCGGAUUUCGCCUUGGUUUCGCCUUUUGUUCAUUUCCAUUAAAGCUUCUAUACGGUACUAUUGUAGCGCUCUGUCUCGCUUUUGUCUACUUCACAGGGGGAAAGGAAGUAUGGGAGGAUGUAGAAAAAAAAAAUCAAUCCACUUCAUCUAAAAUCAGCGAAAUCAUUUGCUUCUCCUCUCCGUAUGUUUGGUAAGAAGGUUCAGCAAUGGCAGUUGGAUUCGGAUUGGAUGUCAACGAAUUUAAACAUUCUGAUAGAAUGGCGGGCGACAAAAGAUGCACUGCAAUUUCAGGGUGAAAGGUGUUUCUGCAGAAGCGAGCGAUUAAACGAUCCGAUCCGGAAGAAAAUAUUACCUAUUAAGAAAUAUUCUCCGGAUUCGUUGAAGAGGCAAUUAAAAAGAGGGAUUGAGAGGCAAACGAAAUUGCUCCGGAAAUCAUAAAAUUACUUUACGCAAACCAAAAAAAAAAGACAACAAAGGCGAAUUGUACUAUUACAAUUGUUCCUUUGCUGUCUUAAGUUUCUUUGCCCUCUUCACCAAGCUAUGGUGUCUAAUUUGCCUCUGUAUACUUUUAUUCUUUCGGCCCCGUCAAGAUCACGAACGAUUGUCUUUGCACUCAAAAGUAAACAUUUCUACUGGGAGUCACAACAAAUGGACAGAUUCGCCGAGCAGGAGAAAUUCAACAAGUGUCCCGCUGGGAAUGCUAACGGAAAAAUAGAGGCUUCGUCGCAAUGAAUUCGAAAACACAGUUGAUCUUCAUGUUCAUCUCAUCUCUAUGCGACUGAAAGCUAUUAGGGAUGGAUAGGGAAUAAUCUCUCUAAGCCGCGUUUUGUUGCUAUAUUGCCUCAUCUUUUCAUUCACUCAGACUCGUUGGCUAUUUCUUUAGGAAAGGGCAUGGCCCUAGAUGGUAUAGCAUACUGGAGUCCUAGGUAAAUAUCUCUUGGAUUUGUGUGUUAAAGAGUGCUAGGAUGUAAAGGAUAGUUUAACUUUUUUGUAUUUAAAAACUAUUUUCUAUCUAAUUUCCAUCUAUAAGUUUUCAUACAUACAAUUCAAUUUUAAUUAUUAUUAUUAUUUUGCUUCUCCUUCUCAUUGCCCUUACUCAUUACACCCUGUUCAUUCCUUUCACUCCACCCUUCUCCUCUCCUCUACUCCUCUACUCCUCGUCGCAACUAUCAUCCUUCGUUUUCAUUACCCUACCCUAUGUUGUUAUUACGCGCCACUGCGCUUCGCAGUUUGUCAUUAUCAAAGCGUAUCGCGAAUGACCCUUUUUUGUCAGGACGGGAAGCAUAGCGUUACGUAAUUUUUCCUCUUUGCUUCGGACCUUUCAUUAUGUCAGGCAUGUGACGUUUGGUAUCACCUUUGCUUUGGGUUGACCAAGUGUAGUGUUUUUACGUCAUUUGGUACGGCUGCUAUGGCGUAUGGGCUCAUACAUAAAUACUUAGCUUCCCGCUCUUCUCUUUUACCAACACCGU